GUUCAAACCUAUUGUCAUAUUGUAAAUUCUAUUUUGAAUAUUUUAAUUUUAAUAUUCAGUGAUGUAUAAUAAUACUCGUAAAUUGUCUUUUCUUUUUUAAAACAAUACGAUCGCUCAUCAUAUAACACACUUCAAAAUCGAUAUAAAUCUUCUGAUAAAGAUAUUUAUGAAUUAAGUAACCUUCGAUAUGACAACGGCUAUAUUGUGAUGAAUACCACAGUAAGCUUGCAUAUGUCCCCCCACCCUGUCUCCCAACUAUACCUGCUACGAAUUGUAGUUUGUUUGAAUGUUCUAUUGCAUAAUUCUCUAAUGCUGACAUCUUUUGCUUGUCACUUGUAGCAUAUAGAAAAGCUAUUUUAAAAUAUUUAAAAUAUUUAUAUAUUAUAAGGUGAUUUAGCCCGAUAAGUAUUAAAGUUUUAUAGUGUAAGUUGAUGUAUAAAAUAAUAUGUGCGUAUUGUGUUGCUUUUGUUUUUUUGUAAUUUAAAUUUCUAAAUUUCUCUUCUUGUUCACUUUCUACUUAUAUGUGAUUUUGAUUGUGGAAACAUAUUUGGUUAUUGUUUUAGCUAUAUUUUUUUUAAAUAUCAUAUGUUUGUAUUGCACUGUUUGUUUCCCUAAUAAAUAAAUAAAUAAAUAAUAAACACACAUACAAGACAAAAAAUACAAACCAAAAAUGAUAUUGCCGUUAUUCAAACAAACGAAUCUGCUAUGUCGAAACACGUUUGUAAUAGCCCAAGAGCCCGCGACAGCCAGACCUUCGUUAUUUUAUAAAAGCUGAAAGUUUCUCUGUGUAUGUCUCCAGCACAGGUAAGAACGACCCCCGACUAUAGAGUUCCGAUUGUGGUUGCUUGGGCAGGUAACAGGCAGUAAAGGUAUAUAAAAUAGUCCCUUAAAUUCUUUAAAGUAUAAAGUUAUUUUUUUUUAUUAAUUACUCCAGAAUAUCUUUAGAAAUCACGAUAUCCAUUGCCGGACACUUUUUACAGUUGCUACCCCCUGCCGGACACCCCUAAAUUUUAAUUAUACUUUCGUUAUACUAUAAAAGCUGAAUUUUAUAUAUGUUACUUAGGGACUUAUAAAAAUAUGUUACCCCAAUAGCCAGACAGUUUUAAUGGUUCUUACAUCUUGCCGGACACAUUGAGAGCCCGCUGUGCGUGCGCGAGGUAGCAACUGUUCAUGCGGGUGUGAGUGAGAUAGAGUGCUUAGUCUAUUGUGAUCUUUUACUGCACAUCAGCUGUCAUUUCUGGGAUUCAUCGUGCAUUCUUCAGGAAAGGAAAAUUAAAACCAUAUAAAACAUUAAAAAAAUAUCCAAAGUACCAGGAAGCUUUCAAGAAUUUCCGUAACAGCGAAUCAAUUGAAAAUUUAGAUCAACAACAAAAUAUCUAUAAUAUCAUUCAGAUUUAUAUGCAAUGUUUACAAUGUCCGUAAUGUAAUUGAUGUUGAUGCUGCUCGACUUCAAAUAUUCAUCGACUCGUAUACAGUCUCUGAUGUAAACGAAGCUUUUGACCGAAAGAAAUUGCGAAUUUUUUACGUUAGCAAUCUACCAACUUGUAAAAGCGAGCUAUUGCAGCAAUUUUUGCUAUCAAAUUAUAUAUAUAAAAUUUGGAAUAGUGCUCAUCUAAAAAAUCCAACCUCAUAUCAACCCGGAUAAUAAUGGCAGGGUAUUGAAAGAUGACAAAUACCAAGUUAUGUUGGAGAUUCGCUCAAAACUCAAACAGAAACUGAUGGAUAAGGUAUUGGAUAUUGGUGACAAUAGACUAGAGUAACUGUAGUAGCGACGAUGAAGAUAACGAAAAUAUCGACGACAAUGAGGAAAAUUAUAAGAACGAUUAAAUAUUUUUCUUUGACAUGUAAUAAUAUUUUGUUUGUACUUUAUAAUAUUAAAAUAACAUUUUUUACUUUCUAUAACAUUGCUAUGAACGUAAUAAAA